AGAAGUGCUGCUGUUGUGACGAUGGCUCCUCUUCGUCCUCUGAUAGUGAUGCUGACAAGAAGAAGAAGAAAAAAAAAGAUAAGAAGAAGAAGAAGAAGAAGAAGAAGAAGAAGAAGGAUUCUUCUUCUGACUGCUCGAGCGAUUCUUCUAGUGAUGAUGAUAAGAAAAAGAAGAAGAAGAAGAAGAAGAAGAAGAAGGAUAAGAAGAAGAAGAGCAAGAAAGACAAGAAAAAGGACUCCGAUUCUUCUAGCAGUGAUGAUGAC